AUGAAUAUGAAUUCCCUUCAAACAAAAAAUAUUUUAUGCGAUAAUAAUUCACUCCAAUUACACAGUAUUAUAAUAAGUAAUUCUAAUGGGUCAUUUACAAAGGAUAAUGUUUUAAAUGAAAGUGGUCGAAAUAUGUUAGUGGAGAUUAUUAUUUGUGAUUCAAAACUGGUUCUGCGAUGACAGUUUGAUUGGCAAAUUCUAUAGCCAAUACAAAUAUACAAUUGUUGACAAAUAAUACUUUUCAUUCUGAAAUUAAGGAUACAAAUUUUGUUGGUGAUGCCAUGAUUUCCCAAAAGGUGAACUAUAUACAUAGUAUUUUAACAACAUUUGGCCAAUGAAGCAAAGUGAAAUUGAUGGUGUAAUGUGUUUAGACACGUCUGAAAGUAUGAUUCAGCAUUCUACAUCUACGGCUGAAGAUACAGAUAAAGAGGAUUAAAAAACAUUUAUUUCAUAUUUAUAUGUAACAUUAAUUAUUUAGUAUAAUUCAAUUGUUCUUGUGUUUUUAGAUGGAAUUGAUGGUCUAAUGUGCUAGACACAGGAAAGAAAAAGCCAUCUACUUAAAGCAUAUUGAAACAUAUAAAUUUAAGAUGGAUUUGACUCCUAGAAAGGAAGUUUUUAUGAUGCCUCCGAAGAAGCCAAGAAGAAAAAUUCUUUACUUAAUUAUCGAUACGAUACCAGUACUUUGUUUUAUUUGUAAUACAAAAUCGUAUGGUGAACGAACUUGUAUAAUAUGUUCAAGCAUUAUAUCACACAGUUAUGUAUCAUACCCAGAAAAGAUUGGAGAACUGAUGGGAGAAGAAUGUGUUAUAAUUGUCACGUGUACGGAUCACAUGUGCAUGAAAUGCACAUCCCUUCUCAUUCUUAUGGACUAUCUGCAAAAUGAUCUGAAACUUGUUAAAAAUGCAAUAUUGACCAACGUACAAGAUAAAUAUGGAAUUUUACCUAAUGGUCAGCCAGAAUGAUCCACUAGUGGCGGUAGAAGUAAUGCCCCAAAUAAAAUAAGAUAAGACCCUUCAAAUAUUUAAAUAUACAAAUGCCGUUUUUGUUCAUUCCAAUCUAAUUACAUUUUUCACUUUAGGUAUGUCCAUAAAUACCUCAAUUUAUUUUAUAUGUAUUUAUAUUUCAGUGACUCAUUUCAUGCUUUGUCAUAUGAAGAAGAAUGAUAGUGAUAAAUCAAAACAAACUGUGACAAAAACAGUAACCCAACAACAAAAACCUCAGCAGAAACAAACCAACCAUCAGCUGAACAAGGGCAAUAUCCCAGAUGAAAUCUUAAACAAGAGACAAAAUAUUUCUGAAAGAUGUCUGGACAAACAGAACCUUUGAAAGUUAACCAAGAAAUCACUGCUACAAAUGUAGAUAUAGGUGACAAGGCAAUUGUAGGCAGUGAGGCUAUUUAAACAUUGAACCGAUUUUGCCUGCCAUUCAUAAUGUCGUCCUCUCUUCCUCAAAUGAUGGGACCUAUUUCUUAUGCAGUCUUGUAAAAUAUGAUGGCAGUUCUUUGUUUUAUUUGUAAUGUGACAUUGUGUGAGGAACUCAACAAAAAUGGGUAUGUUCAAACUUUACACCACACAGUUAUGUAUCAUACCCAGAAAAGAUUGGAGAACUGAUGGGAGAAGAAUUUGUUAUUAUUGUCACGCCUGUAGGUUACAUGUGCAUGAAAUGCACAUCGCCUCUCAUUCAUAUGGACAAGCUGGAAAAUUAUCUGAAACUUGUUAAAAAUGCAAUAUUAACCAACGUAGAAAAGAAAUACGGAAUGUUGCUUGCUGAUCAGCCUGAACAUUCCUCUAGUGCUGGUGGAAGUAAUGCUCCAAAUAAAAUUAGACAAGACCCUUCAAAUAGUCAAAUAUACAAGUGCCAUUUUUGUGCUUUCCGAUCUAAAGACCUUGGUGACUUUCGGUUGCACCGCCUACACCUGCGGUACUUGCGGCACUGAUUGAACCUAUGUUACAGCUAUCUGCCUUAAUGGUACUUGUCAUAAGUUUGCAUUUUCCAAAGAUGGUACUAGCAACACAAAUUUAUCUUAGAAGGGUCUGGCAACUAGCAACUCGUGAAUGUCUUGUUGAGGCACAACAAAGAAUUUGUUAUGACAGGCCAGGUGGAAGUUGAUAACGAACCUCGUGUACAAGGGAAUUGGAAAGAUGGACGGGACAAAAACUUGCAUAUAUCCAACUCGUUGCUCGAAAACUCGUCUACAGAAUUUCCAGUUGUUGUGUACAGGGACGACUGGAUGGAGUUCACCAGCCAGCUAGACAACACUGUCGUUUAAAACGAAGGGUUUUCCAGAAUCGUUAUUACAUCAGUUUAUAAAUCCUAUCUAAAUCGAUUUCAUCGCAUUUAUAAUAAUAAAUAAAAUACAACGGCCGAUCUUUGAAUUAUGUCUGAAAUGAAUAAUAAAAGAAAAAGGGCAUUUUUGGAUGAUGAUGCUGACAACUUUAUCAGAAAAAUGCCAAAAACAUUUAACAUUGUCAUAAAUACCAAGGAAUACAAGUCAUAGGCUCGUUGUGAAGAACUUAUAAAAAUUCCGCGUGAUCAUGAUUGUGCGUCGGUGAUUAUUAUAAGUGACGACGAUUCAUCCACGCAAGAGAGGAAAUCUCACUUGGACAAUCACAACGCCGCGAUACGGAAUGAAAAUCAGGACAAAGAUAUUGAUGAUGAAACCUCGGCAUCAGCGAGUAUACCCACCGAAAACCCCGUCUUCCCAAGUACAUGUUCGGCAGAGACGAUUGAAUCAUCAUAUGAGUGUGUAGAACUAUUAUGUCUUACUCAUAAAACCCGUGCACACUUUGUGAAAAAAUCGUCUACCCGAAAGUUAGAAAGUCAUAACCGUACUAACUUAGAGAACUAUGAUGCUGAUGACGAAAAAUCGUCAUCCGCUAAUGUUGAACACGCCGAAAAAUCAGUCUUCCAAAAAUGUAUAAAUUUAGCAGAGAGUCUUGAAACAUAUGUGGAACAUAAAGUACCAGUACGGAAUGUUGAUUAUUGUGAUAAAAGUAUGGAUAAAGUAAUUGCCUGGGAUUGUGAUCCGGCGUCCAAUGUCUCUUACAAUUGGAGUAAUACGGAUAAAUAAUUUCUAAAAUCGUAAUCGGCAGAACCUGAUGUUUGUUAUCCUUAUGGACGUAAUAAUUCUCUUUUUUAUAUUGUAUUGUUUAUAUUGUUUAUAUUGUUUAUAUUGUUUGUAUUGUUUAUAUUAUUGUUUAUAU